UUUUACACAUAAUCAGAGUAGUAGUUGAAGACAAUAUAAAGAGUAUUCCUCCAUUCCAUAAGAUAUGGAAUCUUGACAUUGAAGGAUUAGAACUUAAACCAUCAGUGUCUUCUAAUAAAGAUACCGACAAAGACAUCUUUUACAUAAAGCCAUCUAGUAUAAUUGAAAUGCAGCUUUCAAAGAAAAACACAGCAAUACAGUUACAAAGAUUUCCCAGACAAAGCAACUUUUUUGAAGGUCAAAGUAGUGGAAGCAAGUGGAAGACUGAAAUAAAGUCUUUGAUGGCAAAAAAUUCAUCUUCAGAAAGAAUAUAUAUUGGUGACAACGUUCAGAAUGGCACAAAUGGAGAGUGUGGAACUGUUGUUCAGUUUUAUUCCCAGGUAAUAAUGUAGAUUUAAUGAAGAAAUGUUAUUUCCACUUCUGAGAGACCAAAUGACACAGGAAUAAGGUUAUUUUAAGUCAAUAAAGUACAGCUACUCUGACAUGUUGUACGUUGUAUAAUUGAAUUAAAAUGUUAUCAUUGCAU